rnacentral:rRNA from 1 species
AUUGAACGCUGGCGGCAUGCCUUACACAUGCAAGUCGAACGGCAGCGGGGACUUCGGUCCGCCGGCGAGUGGCGAACGGGUGAGUAAUGUAUCGGAACGUACCAUUCAGUGGGGGAUAACUAUCCGAAAGGAUAGCUAAUACCGCAUAUUCUGUGAGCAGGAAAGCAGGGGAUCGCAAGACCUUGCGCUGAUUGAGCGGCCGAUAUCAGAUUAGCUAGUUGGGGAGGUAAAGGCUCACCAAGGCGACGAUCUGUAGCGGGUCUGAGAGGAUGAUCCGCCACACUGGAACUGAGACACGGUCCAGACUCCUACGGGAGGCAGCAGUGGGGAAUUUUGGACAAUGGGGGCAACCCUGAUCCAGCCAUGCCGCGUGAGUGAAGAAGGCCUUCGGGUUGUAAAGCUCUUUCGGCCGGGAAAAAAUCGCAUGGGUUAAUACCCUGUGUGGAUGAUGGUACCGGAAUAAGAAGCACCGGCUAACUACGUGCCAGCAGCCGCCGUAAGAC